AUGUUUAAUAUGCCAGGCUUUGGUUGUGUGUUGCAGUGGAGCAGGUGCCCACAGAAGCCUAUCAGAUCCCGCUCUCGCAGGCCGAGGUGCUGCAGGAGGGCAGUGACCUCACGCUGGUGGCCUGGGGAACACAGGUGCAUGUGCUGAGGGAAGUGGCUGCCAUGGCACAGGAGAAGCUGGGCGUCUCCUGUGAGCUCAUCGACCUACAGACCAUUUUGCCUUGGGACACAGAGACGGUUUGCAAGGUAUGACACGAACACACAUGUUCUCUGGGGGAUAGUUCAGACCAAAGUUAGGAUGCUCAUUUACUUGCUGUACAAACGUAUGACCUUCUUUCAUGAAGCACAGAAAUAAAAGUUAAAGAGAAUGAACAAAUCACAGAUUCUUGAUUUUAUUGCAUUUUACAAAACGUCCCAACUUCUCUAGAAUCGGGGUUGUACAGUAUAUGCUUCAUUCGACGCUCAGAGUGCCGGUAGCUGCCGACUUGACUUCUUAUAAGUUGCCAUGUAAUGUGCUUUUCACCUUGUGGUAUUUUCCCCAAUGGGGCUGGCGGUUCAGUGUAAUAGAGUAGCAGGUCUUACUGAGUCUGUGCUGUAGCUGAUUGUUCUGGCAGCGUGGUCAGGGAGGAGAUGCAGAUUCUCAUGGGUUGUUUGUUGGAAAGCAGCUUCUUAAAUAAACAUGAAAGCCAUUAAACUGCCCGCAUGAAACUCAAUAGUGUGUUUACAGUAGAGCACUACACAGUGUUCACCAGACUGCUGGGAAACCACGUGCUAGAAUUUCACCCUUGAAAAGAUAUUUUUGACUUUUCUCCAUCAGUUUGAACCUUAUCUCCUCUAUUUGCUCCACACGUACAGUACAGACCAAAAGUUUGGAAAAAUUACUAUUUUUAAUGUUUUUGAAAGAAGUCUCUUCUGCUCAUCAAGCCUGCAUUUAUUUGAUCAAAAAUACAGAAAAAACAGUAAUAUUGUGAAAUAUUAUUACAACUUAAAAUAAUAGUUUUCUAUUUGAAUAUACUUUAAAAAAAUAAUUUAUUCCUGUGAUGCAAAGCUGAAUUUUCAGCAUCAUUACUCCAGCCUUCAGUGUCACAUGUAACAUCCAGUCUAUCACAUGAUCAUUUAGAAAUCAUUCUAAUAUUCUGAUUUAUUAUGAGUGUUGGAAACAGUUCUGCUGUCUAAUAUAUUUGUAUGAAUAAAAGGUUACGCAGCAGAACUGUUCCAAACUUUGAUAAUGAAUCAUCAUAUUAGAAUGAUUUACUAAAGGAUCAUGUGAUAAUGAUCCUAAAAAAUUCAGCUUUGCAUCACAGAAAUAAAUGAUAAUUUAAAGUAUAAUACAUUUAAAAACAAUUAUUUUAAAUUGUAAUAAUAUAUCACAAUAUUACUGUUUUUUCUGUAUUUUUGAUCAAAUAAAUGCAGGCUUGAUGAGCAGAAGAAACUUCUUUCAAAAACAUUAAAAAUAGUAAUGUUUCCAAACUUUUGGUCUGUACUGUACGUCUGCGCUUACAAUGUUUGGAAAUGUAAGUUAAACGUGAUAUAAGAAUGUCUUUGUGUUAGAUUAACAAUAUCAACUUGAGUGUUUGUCUCAAAUGCAGCAUCUUUGACUUUUACUUCACUGUUCUUCAUUUUCAGCUGGUAUUUUUGUGGUUUUUAAUGAAUGAAUGAACUACAUGUGUAAUUCAUCACAUUAACUACAGACAUGAUCUGCCAACAACAAACAAAUGCCAACUGUGCCAACUUUGUUGUUUAAAAGUCUGCUUUUUGAUUUAUUUCAAAUAAACACAAUUUUGUCUGCUAAUCUAAUGCAGUGAUAUUCAUAUGUGGCUUAACAUAUGUGUCCCAAUGCAAAUUUUGCUGUACAUUACACACAUGUGCCUUUAUUUGGUAGCAGCUUAGAGUGACUUUGUAAUUAAGCAUUUUGCCCUGAACUGGAACAACUGGAACAAUUGUGGAAUAUGGUUGUUUGUUCAUGACCCAAGAAAAUACAGUUGUGUUCUAUUAACUUUUAUAAAGUCAGUAUCAAAGUGCAGAGCAGAAACAUUUUGAAUCCAGAUGUGCACCGAGCUUCACUGAACGAAGCAGACAAACAUGCAGAUCUCUGAAUGCUCAGCGCGGUUGUUGUUGUUGUUGUUGUUGUGGGACCAAAAGAUGAACACAUUGACCAUUUCAGUAAAUAACAGGAGACAUAAAACUCAGAGCAGCAUUUGAAGAUUGAUGAGAACUUUAAAAUGCACUUAUAAAAGGAAAAAUGCACAAAACAAAACUGUCUUUGUACCAUGUUUGUUCAUUCACUGUCAUUAUACUAAAAUGCAGAAUGUGCUUUAAAAGUUUCCUUUAGUGAACAGAGAGCAUAUGGCUUUGGAGCAAGUAACUUUUCCUUGAAGACAGUUUUAAAGUUAUUACACUAUGCAGCUACAUAAUAUUAUUAUUAUUAUAGCAAAAGUCUAUAGGUUUUUGCAAGAAUUAAAAAAAACACAUUUUAUGUUAGUGGAGUGCAAAAUCAAAUGAUUUGCUGCUCAAGAAACAUUCCUGAUUAUUAUAAAUGUUGAAAACCAUUAUGCUACCCAAUAUUGUUUUUGGAAACUGUGAUGCAUUUUAAUUUUCAGGAUCCUUUGACGAAUACAAAGUUCAAAAGAACAGUGUUUGUUUGAAAUAGA
rnacentral:lncRNA from 1 species